GAGACCACUCCCCCUUCAGACAGUAACCAGAGGCUGAGACCACUCCCCCUUCAGACAGUAACCAGAGGUUGAGACCACUCCCCCUUCAGACAGUAACCAGAGGUUGAGACCACUCCCCCUUCAGACAGUAACCAGUAACCAGAGGUUGAGACCACUCCCCCUUCAGACAGUAACCAGAGGUUGAGAUCACUCCCCCUUCAGACAGUUACCAGUAACCAGAGGCUGAGACCACUCCCCCUUUAGACAGUAACCAGAGGUUGAGACCACUCCCCCUUCAGACAGUAACCAGAGGCUGAGACCACUCCCCCUUCAGACAGUAACCAGUAACCAGAGGUUGAGACCACUCCCCCUUCAGACAGUAACCAGAGGUUGAGAUCACUCCCCCUUCAGACAGUAACCAG